UCUCAGCCUCUAUUGCUAUCACACGACUCUCCUAUUCCCCUUCCUCUUCUCUGUUCCGCGGAAAAGUCUCCUCUGAUUCAGCUUACCUCCGCCACCUCCGGCGUUGCUGCACACCGGCGCGAGUUCGUCUCCCUCCUAGAGUUCCCCGCUGAUUACCCGCCGUGGAUUACCCGCUGCGGAUGCGUUUUGCCAUCGCACGAACCCCGUGGCAAACCCUAGACGUCCGCGUCGGUGAUAUGGCGCGGGCUAACCAUGGGCAGCGGCUGGGCCCGCCUGCGCUGCACCACGACGACCUGCUCCUAUGGACACCCGCGCUAUCUCAGUAUCCCUCUCUCGGCUGGCCUCUAGCAUCGCUGCUGGAUUUAUCCAGUGAUGUUGCUCAGCAACAUCUUCAUUGACUCCAGCGUCGAUGGGACAGCGGUGUUGUGGCCUCAAUUGACAGUUAUAGCGAAAACUCCGUCCACCUCCGCGGCUCUGUUUUUACUGUUGAGGCGCCUAUGGCGCCGCCAUCGAGAGAUUCGUUGGAAAAGGUUGGAACAGCUCCGGCCUCUUCCCACCCUUGCAGCAAGACUCCCAUCCAGGUGUACCAGAAUUCGUUUUGGUCAUGUUGUUGGCCAUAUAGGUGGUCCUGUGCGAUGUGCUCACCAACGAAGCUAUGGAUAUGAACAAAUCUUCAAUUCUCGGCUUGACGCUGUAACAAACCAACGAGUAAUACAAUUAUUUCUUCUUUUUCCUGCUAUGAUAUCUGAAUUAAUGUGCACUGUCGAUAUAGAAUUAUGCAACCUCGAUUCAUCUUAUUUUCAGUACUCCCUCAAUCCCUUUAGUCUUUCUACUUUGCUAAUAUCUGAUGCUAAACCAUGGUUUAUUGCAUAUGGAAUUAUGGAUCAGGUAUCCCUUAUGCAUGUCUUCUUAGAGUUUUUUCAUUCUGUAGGUUAUAGGAAAAUAAGUUGACCUGCUAAUGACUUGAGAUAAACAAGUGCAGCUGAUACGAAAACAAGCCUAAUUUGUUCUCCACAAUUUUCAAGUUUCCUGAUUGUUUGUAUGCUAGAAGUCUCAUAGUUCCCCUUUUUUUUGUACCAAUAUUGAGGUGGUGUGCUUAAUUUUGUGUGUCCACAUAAAGUUGGAACCACUCCUAAAUUUCCCAUCUAAUCAUGUUUGAUCGUAGAUAUAAGGAGGUUAGGUACAAUCAGAUAUUAUGCUCAUGCUCUUAUGUCUUCUAUAUUUAAAGGUCCAGUUAUUACAGAUCUUUGCAUAUCAAUCUUAUAUUUAUAAUUUUGCAUAGUAAGCAUAGAAACUACAGAUCUGUGGAUACAAAUCUUGUGUUUGUAAUUUUGCAAAAUAGGUUAGAAGCUUCGUCAUAUGUUUUGGCUAUUAUAUUUAUUUUCUCUUCAAAUAUGGGAAUCCAAUUACUGAUUUUGCAUCUCCUGUCUUUAUAACUUAGCAAACAACAUCAUACUAAUAUAUAAAGAACAGCCACAAGAUCUACAAAAAUGGGAAGGUCAUAGGUAAGAGGAGCCAAGAGACGAUGACAUCAGUAACCAAAUUCAAGCAAUGAUGAAUAUGAUAAGCUGAUGUUUCUACAUCCAUAUUGAUGUCACUUACACAAUUGUUACCCCCUAAUUUUGCUAUUAUGUCAUGCAUUGUGUCAGUUAUUUGUUCAGCGGGUUCUGCCUAUUUAUAUAUACUUCGAAGUAAUGUCAAGCCAAAAAACAUGCAUAAUGCAUCUUCGGGGUGUGUGGCCUGCAUAGUUUUGGCUAUGGAGUUCUGUUACUUGGCUCACCCUCGGUCUAGUGUGUUUCCAUACCUUGCCAUUUUAUUGCUUCAGCCAUAAGGAUUGACCUUUCUUACCACAAUUUAAUAUUGGAGCCCCUAGAAGUAUGAAUUUGUAUCCAAUACAUCAUGGAGUAUUCGUUCUAAUAUUUGUAGAUAAAUUAUUGUUUUCUUUCAUCUGUGCAUGGAUCAAUCCCACAAAGAGAAAUAUAUGUGUACUCAUUAUCAUUUUUUCUGCCAUUUGAUUUUCUCAGGAUAUUUGCAAGAGAAGUCGACCUACCCCGCUUGUGAAUGAUGCUAUCAUGAAAAGUAAAACUAAAAUUUAGUGUUACUAUAAACUUUUGAAUUUGAACAUGAUCGAUAAGUUUUUGUUGAUUCCUUCCAACAAACGAACGUGGCACCUAAUCAUAAAAAUGUGGUUAUUUAUUUUAACUAGAGGCAAAGGUGUGAGGUCUCUGCAGCAUUUGGUAACAAGUUCAGUAUCAAGCUAGGGCACCACAAACGCAAACAAAAAAAAUGCAGCUAUACAAAACGGGCGCAGCAACGCGUGUAGGGUCCAUCUAGUAUCUUUGAACAAGUAAAGUUCUAGAAAGACUGGAUGCCUCAUAUCGCAGGUAAGCGCUGAAGCCUCUCCACAUGUAGUAUACUUAGCAGUAUCUCAUGCAGUAACAAAUGCAUAAUACAUCAGUCUGGAUUGUUUUACAGCCUUGCUUUUUUCAGCCUCAACCUACAUUUUUUUUACAUGAGCCUCAACCUACUUGCUUCACCUAUGAUGGUACAGUCCUCUUUCUUUUUAACAAUGAUAAUUGACCUGGCAUCUACUGCCAUAACAAAAUAUUUUAAUUAUGUCAGAUACCGUAAGCCGAAUGAUUUUGCACUACUGGAAGCUUAAUUAUGUUUGGAACAUCAGUCAUACAUCCGUUGUAUGCUCAGAUUAUAUUGCUGUUGUUUGUCCAACCUCUUUCACUCAAUCUCUUUGAAUUACAUGCUUCAUACCAUGUACAGUAAAACAGGCUCCUCAUUGAUGGAAUGACAAAUUUUCAUCUAUACUUUUCCUGCAAUUCUAAUUCUGGAUCCCAUAGUGAUUUCUUUUAUCAAAUUAUUAAUGUGAUUUCCUUUCUCUCAUAAUUUUUUGUUGUCACAUAUUUUAGUUAGAACUAUAUUUCCAAUGAAGACAAGCAACACUUUUUUUAUUUUCCAAAUAAGGCAUUUGAAGCUUGGCCCAUCUUUCUUUUUUCUCCGAAGAUGAACACUCAUGUGGUUCUAUCAUCUUGUUCAUUUAACAGUUUGGUGAUUGGAUGCAAAGUUGGGCACAGGUAAGAAAGACACACCAUUUCUGGCCUUUGUAUUGCACUGCACCUUUGCAAAGGAUGAUUGAAAGAAUAGAUGCAUUUUUGGUUAAAUCAUUACAAUAGCCAAACUGUUAAAGAAUCGUGCUAUUUAUUGAAAAUAACCCAAUUGUUAAAAAUCUGUUAUCUGUUUAAGAACCUGGACCAACUAAAUGAUUAUGGGAACCUGAACUAAAAUCAUUUUAUGUGCAUGGACCCAACCUGUCGUUUACUUAUUUUUACUAUUUAUUUUGUCAUCCUGUGCAGAGCAAUAUGGUUGCUAUUUAUUUUGUCAUCUUUGGCAUCAUAGUUGCUAUUUAUUUUGUGGCACCAAAAUUCAUGCUAUUCUGUAGCUUUUGAUGGCUAGCUCACGUCUCUUCCAUCUAAAGGGAUUCCGUGCUCCAGUGGUUGCUGGAUAACGUAAGUUGGUUUCCUUUGACCUCAAGAGUAAGGAUUAUGGAUCUGAACUCAUUUUGCUUGAACGGGUAGAGCCUUGUACAGAUGGUUACUGAAGUUUGAUGUUAAGUGCCUUUUAGCGACCUCACUGCUUUUUAUUUAGUACUAGAUGGUUACUAAAUUUGACGGUGGUCCUGGCUACAAUCUUUGUGCAGUGGUUCUAUUCCAAAGUUCUUCUUAGGUUAAGUUGCUUUUCGGUUGCAGCUUAUAGCAAGAAAUUAGCUUAAUUCAAGGUAGACUUUUCUUCAAGUUAUAUAAUGGAACUUGGUUACCACUUAGCAGUUAAGCACUUGCUAAUAGCAUCAUUGGUCGUCUUAUCCGAACCGUGAACAUUUUGUGUUAUCUGCUCAUAUAUAUAAAAAUGUACAUAGUUUUCUAUUUUCAUACUUAUGCUUCCGGAUGAAUGCAAAAUUUGAUAGUGGACAUGAAUAUAAAUGUGUUUGUAGUACUUAUGGUCAUCAGAAGUUUUUCCCACGAUGUCUUUUCUGAUCAUAUUCUAGCAAGGGUUUCAUAUAGUUUAUCUAGGAGUGUUAGCUUCUAUUUUUAGUACAUAUUUCAACACAAUUAGCGUGUUAUGGAACCAUUCAUUCAAUAAAUAUUUCUUGUUCAUCUCUAAAUUAAAUCACAUACUGCUUUCAUUAGUAUUGCUUAGCGCUCUUGCACAUCAUUUGGGUCAAUAGUUCAGUCAGUGUAAUGUAUUUUCCCUGUACACAUUAACAAAAAAUACUAUACAUUGUUUACUGUAGGGAGAGUGGCGGAUGAAGUAGGGUUCCCUGGACCAUCCCUACGGGUGUCGAUCCAAACAAACUAAUUGGUAAACUUCUUGAGCUUGUAGUUAAAAGGAAUUUAUUUAUUUUGGUUUCACAAGUAGUAAAUGAAACCAUGGUUUAAUAACUUCUUGCUAAAUUUUGUUUUGAGAAAUACAGACAUUGUUCUGAAGUAUAAUAAGUAUUUUAAGUAUACACAUAAACCACUCUUGACAUUUACUGUACCAUUUGAAGGGCAAUCAAAUUAUAUUAUGUUCUAGAACAUAUGGUUAUGCAAGAAUUGUGUUGCAGACCCUAUGGUCACUGAUUAUAGUACCAAUUUAGUGAAAAUUCAUGUUUAAUGGAGAAAUUCAUUUUAGUGGAAUUGUUCAUGCUUAAUCAAUUUUGUACUUGGGUGGAGAUAAGCGAUGACUUACAAAGUUUAUGAACUCAUGUUCUCACUGGAGACUCAUCAAGCAUUUGUAUAUCUUUUCGAAGUUGUCAAGCCAUCUUCAUCGGUAAAUGACCUUGCCUUUUAGCCAGAUGAGCUUGUGCUUUGGAUUAUUUUAUAGUGGUUUAGCAUGACAAUAUUGGAACUCUGCUAAAGUUGUGGUCAUUCAAUUGGCUAACCUGAGUGCCUGACAGACAUGACUGAGGCAAAACAUAACAGACCUAACAAAGGUAGGUGAGUUCAGAAAAAUAAGGUAGGCGAUAUUUUGUACUCCCUCCAUCCCAUGAAAGUUGUCUUAGAUUUGUCUAAAUUUAAAUGUUUCUACAUGCUAGAUAGUGUCUAUAUGUAUUCAAGUUUAGACAAAUAAUCUAAGACAAGUUUCAUGAGACGGAGGGAGUACAUCGCAAGGUAAUUUCCUCCACACGAACUAGAAUUUUGGGCCAAAUUUUGGAGAGUAUAGAGUGGGCUUGCAGAGUAAUUCAUUCAACCAGAACACCAUUUUUUCAAAAGGGUAGUAACUCAAAUCUUAGUGCAAGUGUAGCUAACUGAAGUAGUGACACAUCAGCAGCCACUGCAGGCUGGAUGAAACACUUGCUCUCUACACCCUUAUUCACAUGUAGGUCCACACGCGCUUAUACUCUCCCUUGCAAGCUAAAUCUAGCGGUUGUUGCCUUUACUUGAAAGAUUGCAUCCCUCUUCUGACGACUCAUUGAGCAAAAAAUACAAUCUUGCUCUUUCAAAAUCGUGGUGCAUUUGCUCUGCUUGUGUUUGACAAAAUGAUCGUGCAAUUACUUUAGAUCUUUUCUGAAUAAUUUUUUCCUUAGACUCUCAGUUUAGUGUUCAUAUUUUGCCGGAGCUUCAGUGCUUGAUGACCUAACAUUCAGUUGUUUCACUUAUAUCCCAAAAAUACUUUGUUGUCUCUGGACUUGACUACUAUUGACUGUUAGAUAACUUCAAAUUAUUUUGGUUGGUAUUCUGGCUCAACAUUUAAUUUAUUUCCAGGGUGCAAUACUGCAGUUUUUAAUCGAUUACCAACAAGUGAUGGUGUAAUGUACUCUUCAGCUAUUCAGAACUUUCUGAACUUGAGUGAGAUUCUGCAAAAAAUAAAAUAUUUAAGGAGACAAUGCUCAUUAUCUAUUUCAAUCUAGAUUAUCAAAAAGAUGAGUGUGUUUGUCAUCAAGUGAAAAACUCUUGCGAUUUAUUUCAUUGUCAAUUGAUAUUGAAGGAUCCAUGUUUGUGGUGGACACAUUAAAUUUUUGCUCUUUUCUUAUGGCGGCAUCCCAUUAUAAAAGGAUAAUUAGGUGUGUUAUGUCCAUUACCAUGACCUCCAUUGAUAAUAGUACGAGCUCUCUUUUUCAGUUUUACUAUUGUAAAUCAAAUUCUACUCACAAAACCGCAAGGAAGGUGCAGUGCUGGACUUGCAAGACGAGUAGCACAGAUGGAGGAACGAGUGGAAACCGAGGCAAAGACAACAUAUUGUUUUGAAUUUGGAAUACUGCUGGAGCAAGUGGGGUUGGGUGAUGUUGAGCUAGAAGUUGUAUGGCAGAGACAUUCAUGUUAAUAUAUUUCUAGACCAAAAUCUGCAUAACUGCACUGAACAUGACACUCAAAUAUAUUUGGUGACACCGACAUCUGUUAGAAUUAUGAAUU